AUUGAACGCUGGCGGCAGGCCUAACACAUGCAAGUCGAACGAGUGGCGGACGGGUGAGGACUGUCUGGGAAACUGCCCGAUGGAGGGGGAUAACUACUGGAAACGGUAGCUAAUACCGCGUACCAUAGGCUGUGCCAAGAUGGGAUUAGCUAGUAGGUGGGGUAACGGCUCACCUGGUCGACGAUCCCUAGCUGGUCUGAGAGGAUGACCAGCCACACUGGACCGUAGACACGGUCCAGACUCCUACGGGAGGCAGCAGUUGGGAAUAUUGCACAAUGGGCGCAAGCCUGAUCCAGCCAUGCCGCGUGUAUGAAGAAGGUCUUCGGGUGUUAAAGUACUUUCAGUUAGGAGGCGUUACUCGCAGAAUAAGCACCGGCUAACUCCGUGCCAGCAGCCGCGGUAAUUC
rnacentral:rRNA from 1 species